GAACUAGGCAAAAUGGUACCGUAACUUCGGGAGAAGGUACGCUCUCGACGGUGAAGUCCCUUGCGGAUGGAGCUAUUGAGAGUCGCAGAUACCAGGUGGCUGCAACUGUUUAUUAAAAACACAGCACUGUGCAAAAUCGUAAGAUGACGUAUACGGUGUGACGCCUGCCCGGUGCCGGAAGGUUAAUUGAUGGGGUUAGACUUCGGUCGAAGCUCUUGAUCGAAGCCCCGGUAAACGGCGGCCGUAACUAUAACGGUCCUAAGGUAGCGAAAUUCCUUGUCGGGUAAGUUCCGACCUGCACGAAUGGCGUAAUGAUGGCCACGCUGUCUCCACCCGAGACUCAGUGAAAUUGAAAUCGCUGUGAAGAUGCAGUGUACCCGCGGCUAGACGGAAAGACCCCGUGAACCUUUACUACAGCUUGGCACUGAACAUUGACCCUACAUGUGUAGGAUAGGUGGGAGGCUUUGAAGCACGUACGCCAGUAUGUGUGGAGCCGUCCUUGAAAUACCACCCUUGUAGUGUUGAUGUUCUAACGUCGACCCCUAAUCGGGGUUGCGGACAGUGCCUGGUGGGUAGUUUGACUGGGGCGGUCUCCUCCCAAAGAGUAACGGAGGAGCACGAAGGUGGGCUAAUCACGGUUGGACAUCGUGAGGUUAGUGCAAUGGCAUAAGCCCGCUUGACUGCGAGAAUGACAAUUCGAGCAGGUGCGAAAGCAGGUCAUAGUGAUCCGGUGGUUCUGAAUGGAAGGGCCAUCGCUCAACGGAUAAAAGGUACUCCGGGGAUAACAGGCUGAUACCGCCCAAGAGUUCAUAUCGACGGCGGUGUUUGGCACCUCGAUGUCGGCUCAUCACAUCCUGGGGCUGAAGUCGGUCCCAAGGGUAUGGCUGUUCGCCAUUUAAAGUGGUACGCGAGCUGGGUUUAGAACGUCGUGAGACAGUUCGGUCCCUAUCUGCCGUGGGCGUUGGAAGAUUGAAGGGGGCUGCUCCUAGUACGAGAGGACCGGAGUGGACGAACCUCUGGUGUUCGGGUUGUGUCGCCAGACGCAUUGCCCGGUAGCUAAGUUCGGAAUCGAUAACCGCUGAAAGCAUCUAAGCGGGAAGCGAGCCCUGAGAUGAGUCUUCCCUGAUACUUUAAGUAUCCUAAAGGGUUGUCGGAGACUACGACGUUGAUAGGUCAGGUGUGUAAGUGCUGUGAGGCAUUGAGCUAACUGAUACUAAUUGCCCGUGAGGCUUAACCA
rnacentral:rRNA from 1 species